GAAAGAGGACUCCCGGCCUCGGUCUGCCAGCCCAGACGCAACGAGCCAGCGCGCUGAACGCGCCUGCAGAGCUGCUGAGUCUAGCAGUCCCUGGCACUCCGGAUGGCAGCCCAGAGGCCGCGACUCUUCUGCCCAAGUCUUUUUGGAAAGCUAAAGAGCUCCUAAGAAAACCUGUCAUUAGCCGUCAUUCGACACGUUGGGCAAAACCCGCAACCAAGCACUUGGAAGAGUGGCUUUAGGAACACUCACCAGACCUCCUUUCUCAUUCUCAUACCCGGCAACCGCGUGGCCCGUCUCAGGGAGCCACCAUCACGUUGGUCUAUCUCUGCACAGCUGCUCAAGUACGGGUUCCAUCCCAGGAAGCCUGAGGAAGCAGGAAGUCAUCUUAGCUGAGGAAACAGACACUCUGAGCAUCCAUUCCCUGUAACCUGCUUCGUUUCCUAGGCCUUCGUACAAAAUCAAUGCCAAGGUUAAAAAAAUCUAACCAUGGGUUGGGAACAAGGCCUGGAUAUUAUUCCAAGCUCUGGCACAGGCAUGCAGUUUGUCCCUGGGCAAAUUCCUUAGCCUGUCUCUGCCUCAGUCUCAUCAUUCACAGAAUGCUGGGUAAGGAAGGGUACUUCCUUCUCGUUAUUAUGAAAGACAAGCUGUGCUUACGUCCUUCUGCAAAAUGGGACGCCGCUUUCCUAGGAAGGGUACCAGUCAAUACCAGGGUAUGUAUCUUAAAGAGAUAAUCAGAUUAAAAGCAGCAUGGAAUAUACAAAGAAAAAUGAUUGAAUUUCCUAGUGGACCAGGCAUAUUGCUGCCCUUUGGGUCCAAACGAAAAAGUAUAUCUUGAAUUACUGAAAUUUUCUCUUUUUUAAAUUUUUUUUACUUUAUUUUUUGUCUUUUUGCCAUUUCUUGGGCCGCUCCCGUGGCAUAUGGAGGUUCCCAGGCUAGGGGUCAAAUCGGAGCUGUAGCCGACAGCCUACACCAGAGCCAGAGCAAUGCCAGAUCCGAGCCGCAUCUGCGACCUACACCACAGCUCACGGUGACGCCGGAUCCUUAACCCUCUGAGCAAGGGCAGGGAUCGAACCAGCAACCUCAUGGUUCCUAGUCGGAUUCGUUAACCAUUGCUCCACGACGGAAACUCCCUGAAAUUUUCUUUCUUGCCUCAUCUAAUACAUGACAGAUUCUAAGUGUCAUUCUUACAUUAGUAAUUGCUCAUCCAUUAGUAAUUGCUCACUAAAUCGAAAUACUUGCUACUUUUUCUGGUUGACUGUAUCUAGAACAUUUCCCAGUGUGUUUCAUUCAUUAUUGUACUCAACACGUUUGCUGCAUGAAUAGAUGACUGUGUUGCAUGCUUAUACCGCAAAUUAACAUUUUUUCUUCGUUAGGCACUAUGUUUCUAAUUUCUUGUUUUAUUAAGUAAUGCUGCAAUGUACUAUCUUAUGCAUCAAUAUCUUCCCAGAAAUCUGGUUACCUACUUAAAGCUCAAUCACUGUGAUUUAGAAUUUUGUAGAACAAAAAAGGAAAGCAGUAUACACAAAGAAAAAGAAUAUAUACAAGUGAAACAAACCACAUGGUUAGAAAAUCACAAUAAAAAAUCUGUAAAUGUUAA
rnacentral:lncRNA from 1 species